UUUGGCAGAAACAAAAUGCUUUCCCAGGUCUUCUGAAUUUGUAUCCAGUGCUCAUUUUCCUCUGCUUGUAAGACAGCACUAACAUACACCUUCGACUCAAUGGGACAUGCAAAAACCACCAUGAUGAUUAUAAGACUCAGCAGGACCCUAGAUCAGGAAUUUCUUCUCCAGAGUGAUGCUGAGAACAGGAACCAGAGUAGGUUGUGCCCAGUGACAUCCCAAAGGUGGGAGUUAGAUAAGUAAAU